rnacentral:misc_RNA from 1 species
GGGUGUUGCUGAAUGUGGCAUACACAGCCUCCAUUUAUAACGCAGUGGUGGAAGCUCCCCCAGGCAUGAAAGUUGCUGUGCAACCAUCAACAGUCAACUUUCCGGGAAAAUAUAGCAAAGCAGAGUUUAACCUGACUGUGGAAAUCAACUUGGAAGUUGAUAGUGUUGCUCGACAAAGUGAUUAUUUUGGGAAUUAUGGGUUCUUGAGCUGGAACGAGGUUAACGGAACGCAUGUGAUUAGAAGCCCC